CUUAUGACGAACAGGGUAUAGACAUUUGACGUUUUAAUAAUAUUCACCUACAUAUCUUUUAAACAUGAUUGUUUAAAAAAGAAAGUUUUGAUUUCAGUCAGUUCAUGGAACAUCUUUGGCUUAACCAUGCACAAAACUGUUGCACUAAAAAAACUUGAGUUUGUGUAAAACGUAUUUACCGGUUUUCAAGUUGUUGUUGUUUGGCAAUAAGUUAUGGUGGCAGCUGUGAACUGAUGAACCGAACCAGUUGAGGUACUGUCAAGGUCAAGAAUGAGUGUAUUACUAUAGCCCUUCUGCACAAGUACUGGCCCUUACAUUCUUGAAAAUGGACGGUACAAUGACAGUAUUAUUGGAUCAUUUGGGAAAUGUUAUGUCUGCAUUGCAGUUUUUCUCAUCUGCUAGACAGUCAUGGCAGCUGUGUAGCAGUAAAACAGUGUCAUGUGACCAGACUGAGAAACUAUGUGACAUUGUUUACAUUCUUCCACUUGUGACAAAUUCAAACCCCUGAAGAGUGUAUUACAUCAUGAUCUACUCGAGGAUAGGUGGUCAAAUGAAAUAUCAAAUUUGUGAUUUCUUUACUGUGAUGUGGAAAGAAUGGGAGCCCAGCAGUAGACAGGACAGAUGCAUAUACAGAAGAUGAUUGUCAACAUUCUGUGACUUCAGUAUGUUACAUGUCAAGAAUGGAAUAGGUGCAGCACAAUUGUUUUGAUUAACUGCUAGCCAAAGAUGAAAUCAUGUUCUGCAGCAUUAAACUAGUCACAGUACUGCUCACCAAAUUUUGAUUACUCUUUCCCAUAAGGUUGUCUGUAAUGGUGGAAAAUUGUACUGGUCACAAAGUUUUCGUAACCAUACAUCCGUAUGUCAGGCUAACUGAUUGUUACCGAAUGUGCAGAUGAGGGAUUUUAAAUCUGGAGCUGUUUCACAUGCAGUAAUGUAAGUUUUGGCCGAGGACGUUUUACGUUUUCAAUUUGAUGACCUCACAGGUUGAGAAGUAGCAAUGGUGUUAACCACGUGUCGUGGUAUGGCACAGGUUUUCUUCCGGAUGCAGAGCUGAUGCAGCUUGCAGUCAUCAGGAGUUACCAGAACACAAACGUGAUGCCUGGCCUUCAGGAAGCGCUCUCUGAUAAGUUAUUAGUGAGAAAUUUACACUGUUGGAAUUCUUGUUGUGAUCAUUAACAACUUCAAGUGCAUAGAAAAUUUGUCAAUUUUGAAAAAUUUGCAGAAUUUUUAUAU